CCAAAGUGGACUUUCAAUUCAUUCAUUUCCCAAAAUCAGUAUACUCUCAUCUCUCUUUCUCUCACGCCAAGUUCACCACCACCAUCCUCAUGUCGUUUCCACUACAAGCUAUCUUCUACAAGCCUUGCAUGAUCUCUACCUCACGAACCCAAUUUUCAAUGAAGCAUUUUAAGAAAGACUGCAACUUUAUUCUUCUAAUUUCUUUGUGGACCGAAAUAUAACCCAAAGCCUUAAUCCAUCACCUACUUGAAAUUAGGUCCUUGCAUGUGUAAAUCAACACCUCAACUUAUCAAUUGAAGUCAUCAGGAAGUCAAGGUAACCCAUCAAACACCCUAUUUCUCUUCUUCAAGGUUCAAGCUCAAGUUUAUUAGAAAGGGUUGUGUUCUGUUACAUGAGUGUUGGGUGGAAUCAAGACAUGAUUACAUGUUAAAAUGAAAAACUGGAAGCUGAGAAACAAGAAUUAAGAAGAGCUGAGUUUGAAUGAAAUGGAAGGUCAGAGCUGUGUAUAUAAAGAGAAAUUGGAAGGAGUUUGUGAAAUUCGUAGUUAGGACAGACGUCCAAUCAAAAGUCGAGAAAUGAGGUCAGUAGCUAUUUUUGAAGUUGGUGCUCCGAUGCAGAAUUAUGCAGAAAAUUCUGAUUAUGGGUUUAAAGUAUUUCAGUUGCAAAUUAUGCGUUUCGGCGAGCUCUAGAAGUGUCGCUGGUAUUGUUCAAGCUUCUUUUCAGAUAAACAGGUUGAUCGAGAUAUAAUGGUUUGCAAGCAUGGAGUUCAGAUACUUGGAUUAUGCUAAUUGAGCUGACGUCAUGUUAUCUUAUAUUUUGUAUAAGAUUUAGUUUCUUUAUGUUUUUAGUUGUUAGCUCAGUUUAGUAUUAAUCUCUUGGAUUUUGUAAUCCUAUUUAUGUAUUCGGACGAUAUGUAAUGAAAAUUUAAUGUUUCCCGAUUCA